rnacentral:tRNA from 1 species
AACUAAGAAGUGAAAUUAUCACGUCUAGUUUCGACCUAGAUUCUUGGCUUAAUAAAAGCCCUUAGUUU